rnacentral:rRNA from 1 species
AUGAAGCACACCGUGCAGGCUGAAAACAUAAAUCUUGAUGAUGUUAUUGUACCUGGUAUGCUUAAUGAAGACGACAACAUUCAAAGUAAUGUAAUACCAUUGUCCUAUGCUGGCAGAACUCGUUCUAUGAUUCACGCAUAUCGUGAUGGAAUGUCUGCUUCUCAUGUCCACAACUCACCUGACAUAAUCACCACCUUCACAUGUAACCCUAAGUGGGCUGAGAUGACAAUGCCGCUUAAAUUAGAGCAACAACAAAUCAAUAAGGCUACUGAGACUAAUCGUAUCUAUCGCAUGAAGCUACUUGAGUAUCUGCAGAAGAUCAAUGAAGGGAAGAUAUUUGGGCCUGUAAUAACUGGUACUGUGCCUAAUGAUUUAUCUCUGCUUUCUCCAUUUUCCUUCGGCAUGCUCGGCUAA